rnacentral:rRNA from 1 species
UACGUCGGGUGCGAGCGUUGUCCGGAAUUACUGGGCGUAAAGAGCUCGUAGGUGGUUUGUCGCGUUGUCCGUGAAAACUCACAGCUUAACUGUGGGCGUGCGGGCGAUACGGGCAGACUGGAGUACUGCAGGGGAGACUGGAAUUCCCGGUGUAGAGGUGAAAUUCGUAGAUAUCGGGAGGAACACCAGUGGCGAAGGCGGCGAUCUGGGAAGAUACUGACGCUGAGGUGCAAAAGCGUGGGGAGCAAACAGG